CAAUGGACUUGGAGAUGUGACGUUGGCAAAGCCCUGGCCUUUCCCAGACUCAGUUUCCAUCUCCCCAUCUAUGGCUUCUGGGGCAGGGUUGAACCAGCCAGCGUUCACCAAAAUGCCCACCCAGCUGUGGAAAAGCAGCAGGUCACCUUCCCGAUGGAUCCCAGGUGGGCUGAUGUUGGACAACCUAGGAGGUCCGCUUGGAGUGAGAAGCCGCAGGAUGGGCUGGGGGACGGAGGGCAGCCCACCACGCCCGGGCUCUGUCCUGACGGCGUGGUCAUAGCCUCCCUGAAGACAGAGGGCCCCCCAUCGGAAGCACAGGCGUCCACCCUGUAACCGGCAACAGCCAUGAAUAUUCUGCUCUGAGCUAAAUACGAGAAAUGCGGAUGUUGAAAAUAGCCAUCCUGGAAGACUCUAAAUGAGAUGAUCAGCCUAUUUCUGGAGAGAGUCCUGCCCUGAACGGUGCUGAACCAAGCGCUGACGUGCAGGUUUCUCGGCAACAAGACAUGGGCCUGUUAAUGCGGUUCCCCAACCUGAAGGCCGGCAAGCCCAUCCCGAGGGGAAGGUUCAGCCGGGAAGUAGACGCUGUGCUCCGCAAGGGAAGAAAAUACACCAUGUAUGACUGUGAAUUUUUUAAUUUUACUGAGGCUCGUUUUCACGCUCAGGUAGGUGGUCUGUCUUCAUGAGGAAGCCAUAUGCCCUUCCAAGUGUCUGUCAGUUAGGUCACGUUGACCGAUGGUGCUGUUCAAGCCUUCUAUAGUUUUACUGAUUUGUCAGCCUGAGUGGUUUGUCCAAGAAAGAAAGAAGGAUGUUAAUUAAGUAUCUCCAACCGCAGGGCCCCAAACACUCCUCUCCAAAUAAUCCGAAGUAGCUAUGAAAUUUCUAUGCAAAACCACAGCCUUGGUGUU